rnacentral:rRNA from 1 species
UGGCGAGUGGCGAACGGGUGAGUAACAUAUCGGAACGUACCGGGUAGCGGGGGAUAACUGAUCGAAAGAUCAGCUAAUACCGCAUACGUCUUGAGAGGGAAAGCAGGGGACCUUCGGGCCUUGCGCUAUCCGAGCGGCCGAUAUCUGAUUAGCUGGUUGGCGGGGUAAAGGCCCACCAAGGCGACGAUCAGUAGCGGGUCUGAGAGGAUGAUCCGCCACACUGGGACUGAGACACGGCCCAGACUCCUACGGGAGGCAGCAGUGGGGAAUUUUGGACAAUGGGCGCAAGCCUGAUCCAGCCAUGCCGCGUGUCUGAAGAAGGCCUUCGGGUUGUAAAGGACUUUUGUCAGGGAAGAAAAGGCCGUUGCCAAUAUCGGCGGCCGAUGACGGUACCUGAAGAAUAAGCACCGGCUAACUACGUGCCAGCAGCCGCGGUAAUACGUAGGGUGCGAGCGUUAAUCGGAAUUACUGGGCGUAAAGCGGGCGCAGACGGUUACUUAAGCAGGAUGUGAAAUCCCCGGGCUCAACCCGGGAACUGCGUUCUGAACUGGGUGACUCGAGUGUGUCAGAGGGAGGUGGAAUUCCACGUGUAGCAGUGAAAUGCGUAGAGAUGUGGAGGAAUACCGAUGGCGAAGGCAGCCUCCUGGGAUAACACUGACGUUCAUGUCCGAAAGCGUGGGUAGCAAACAGGAUUAGAUACCCUGGUAGUCCACGCCCUAAACGAUGUCAAUUAGCUGUUGGGCAACUUGAUUGCUUGGUAGCGUAGCUAACGCGUGAAAUUGACCGCCUGGGGAGUACGGUCGCAAGAUUAAAACUCAAAGGAAUUGACGGGGACCCGCACAAGCGGUGGAUGAUGUGGAUUAAUUCGAUGCAACGCGAAGAACCUUACCUGGUUUUGACAUGUGCGGAAUCCUCCGGAGACGGAGGAGUGCCUUCGGGAGCCGUAACACAGGUGCUGCAUGGCUGUCGUCAGCUCGUGUCGUGAGAUGUUGGGUUAAGUCCCGCAACGAGCGCAACCCUUGUCAUUAGUUGCCAUCAUUCGGUUGGGCACUCUAAUGAGACUGCCGGUGACAAGCCGGAGGAAGGUGGGGAUGAUGUCAAGUCCUCAUGGCCCUUAUGACCAGGGCUUCACACGUCAUACAAUGGUCGGUACAGAGGGUAGCCAAGCCGCGAGGCGGAGCCAAUCUCACAAAACCGAUCGUAGUCCGGAUUGCACUCUGCAACUCGAGUGCAUGAAGUCGGAAUCGCUAGUAAUCGCAGGUCAGCAUACUGCGGUGAAUACGUUCCCGGGUCUUGUACACACCGCCCGUCACACCAUGGGAGUGGGGGAUACCAGAAGUAGGUAGGGUAACCGCAAGGAGUCC